GACGAACGCUGGCGGCGUGCUUAACACAUGCGAGUCGAACGGAAAGGCCCUGCUUUUGUUGGGUGCUCGAGUGGCGAACGGGUGAGUAACACGUGAGUAACCUGCCCUUGACUUUGGGAUAACUUCAGGAAACUGGGGCUAAUACCGGAUAGGAGCUCCUGCUGCAUGGUGGGGGUUGGAAAGGUUCGGCGGUUGGGGAUGGACUCGCGGCUUAUCAGCUUGUUGGUGGUGUAGUGGCUUACCAAGGCUUUGACGGGUAGCCGGCCUGGGAGGGUGACCGGGCCCAUUGGGACUGAGAUACGGCCAAGAGUCAUACGGGAGGAAGCAGUGGGGAAUAUUGCAAACUGGGCGGAAGCCUGAUGCAGCAACGCCGCGUGCGGGAUGACGGCCUUCGGGUUGUAAACCGCUUUCGCCUGUGACGAAGCGUGAGUGACGGUAAUGGGUAAAGAAGCACCGGCUAACUACGUG
rnacentral:rRNA from 1 species